rnacentral:lncRNA from 1 species
GCAUAACCACUUUGUGAUGAACGACGCCUCCUAAACUCGUUGAGAUGGUAUCGAACCCCUCUAUAUGGUGCAAUGAAGGAUGAUGUAUUUGCAUAACCACCAUCUACUAGAUAAAACUUUCCUUCUGGCACACUAAAUCCUUUGCUAAUAGCAGAUCGAAGCACCCCUGCAUCUGAGGCUGACCCCUCCCAUCCACAUGAAACAAAUGUGAAAUUAAGGUCUGAAAGUUCCCUUUGACCCGGGAACAGGAUCUGGAUGUCGCCUAGAGGGGGGGGGUGAAUAGGCGAAUAAAACUUUUUACUUUAAAACUUAAAUUCUUACUCUACUCGAAGACUUAGUACGCAGUGGAGUGAGAAGACUCUUCGAGUAGGUUGCAGCGGAAUAGAAGAUCCUGUCUCAAAAUGUCAGAACAGAGCACACAGACGCAAGGAUUUAUCCCGAGGUUCGGCCAAGCCUGAAAUGCUUGCCUAGUCCUCGUUGGAGUUAGCCACACCUGGGCUUGGAGUCUAUUUCAACUCCUUCCUCCGUUUGCUCAGAUCUGUCAGUAUGACAGAUAGAGCCUUUCACUAUUGAGAUGGGUUACAACAACACCGUGGCUGCUUACAAACUUCUCGGCAGCACCUCGGUAGAGUAACGAUACGCUCAAGACCUUGCUCUAGCUCUUAGCAGCUCUUCUCCACUCUCUAAAGGCUUAUAGUUGUGCCUUCUACACAAACUAUAGAGUUACACACAAGAGGGAGAGCGAGAAUUGAUUCGAGUGAAGUCUAUACUUGUUGGCUGCGCUUAUUGUCUUGCUUGAGGCGCCUAGGGGUCCCUUUUAUAGGCACAAGGAGCCUAGGAGCCGUUGGAAGCAAUCCAGGAAGGCAAAUCUUGCCUUCUGUCGGGUGGCGCACCGGACAGUCCGGUGCACACCGGACACUGUCCGGUGCCCGAUUUAUUUCCAUAAACAGUGAAGCCGACCGUUGCAGAUCUGGCGCACCGGACAGUCCGGUGCACACCGGACAGUCCGGUGCUUCCUUCCGACCGUUGGCUCGGCCACGUGUCGCGCGCCGAUCGCGCGGCCGACCGUUGGCCCGGCCGACCGUUGGCUCACCGGACAGUCCGGUGCACACCGGACAGUCCGGUGAAUUUUAGCCGAAGUCGCCGGAGAAAAACCCGAGAGCGGCCUCUUCGGCUGGGGCAGCCUGGCGCACCGGACACUGUCCGGUGCACCACCGGACAGUCCGGUGCCCCAGACCGAACCAGCCUCUUGGCUGUACACAGCCAAGUCUUCUCUUCUCUUCUUCUUUCUGUUUCUAACACUUAGACACAAAUAUUAGUACACAAAACCAAUGUACUAAGGCUUAGAAACAUACCUUAACUUGAUUAUUACAUCCAUAGCAUUUCACAUGCUUGAGCUUUGAUGUUGGACUCAUAAAUCAUCAAGUCAGCUUGACUUGAUCUGGAUUGACAUUUCUUAGCUCCAACAUCCUGCAAAGGUCAUAUGGAACAUUUCCAAACAUAGGAACAACCCAAACUAAAGAUCAAGAUGAACUUAGCUCUUUUGGGCUGCUUCCAGUUCUGGUUUUGACACUUGUUCUCCUUCUAGUGACCUUGAUCUCCUUCUUAGAGCUUGGUCUUGAGCCUUAUGACUUACACCACAUAACUGUAGCUGUUACCUCAUUGGCUGUAAGUCACGUUCUUAUGUAGUGAUCCUUGAUGUGCCGUAGCUGUUCUCAACUCGAUCACCCUUGACUUUGCAAGCCUUCUUCUUCACCCUUGGCUUUGGGUUCCUCAGCCUCCUUGACCUUCUCCCGUGCACUUGGUACCUCGAAGCUCUUCUUGCCUCCGUCCUUGGCUUGAUCAGUUGUCUCCGAGCUACGCACCCGAGUAUCACUUUUGCAAUGUCCAACUUACUUGUGAUGUCCAUUAUGUAUCCAUAAUCCAGUUCUUGGACCAUCACAUUUGUUCACUUGUGUUGAACCAUGUAGGCUUUACCUUAAGCACCUGUUCAACACUUAGUACACUUGUUAGUCCUUUAAUUGAGUUGUCAUCCAAACACCAAAACUCACAAGAGAGCUUUCAAUCUCCCCCUUUUUGGUGAUUGAUGGCAACACAAUUAAAGCUUACAUACGAAUAAGAUUUGAAGCACAAAUUUGAAUUCUAAGAUUAUAGAAUGCUCCUCCUAAAUAUGUGCUUACUUCAAAAACAUAAUUUUGUCCUCAGACUCCAAUUUGCACAUACUUAGGCAAUUCGAAACAUUUCUACAUCUUAGCACUUUUUAGGAUGCAUUGUGUCAAGAAUCAAACCAUGAUGCUAUAACACACACAUGCACAUAAUCAGAGUUAAACACCGUUCAAAUUAGUGGAUAUAUCACAGGAAUAUCAACCUACCACUAUUCACCUUUAAGAUACCAAUUCAAACUAAGACACUAAUUUAAGACAAUCUUAAAGCACCAUUAACCACAUGACUAUCUAUAACACUAUAGAAGCCAAAUAAUUCAUCGCAGCGGAAACACUAGUCCAAGAAACAUAUGAACAUCACACUUGGCAAAGCUCAAACUAACACAUCACCCAUUAGAAUAAGCUUUCCUCUCAGGUUGAGAUAAGCUUUAAUACACAAAUUCUCCCCCUUUGACAUCAAACACCAAAAACCAUACUCAAGCAAGAACAUAUGAUGAUGUCAAGGGACAGCAGGGUGUUAAGGAGGAAAACGACUAUCAAAACUCCCCCUUACUUAUUGAGCAUAUGCACUAUCAACAUUAAGGAGAGAUACAUAUAUGCAAAAAGAUUAAUACUUCCGUUUGUACCUUUACCAUGUUGUAGUGUACUUCUCAUCUUGAAAGUAUUUAAUCUCUUGAGAGCUUCUCCACACUUGUGCCUGAUUCAUUUUCCUAACUUUUUCUUGUUGCUAAGACACCAAACUUAGAACAAGUUAUAGUAUUGGGCACAAGAAGAAACUUCUAUUCUCAUGAUUAUCAAAAGAUAUCAACUGAAGCGAACUUUUACGGCUAUCAAUUUGAAAGAUACCAAUUGCAAAAUUCAUUUAUUAUCAUGGCUCCAUGAUAUUUAAGAAUAAGCAUCUAUUAUCACCAGAUAUUAUAGAGCAUGAGCAAUUUAAAGAUGUGCACUUACUCACAACUUGAGAUACCAAUUUCUUGACUUACAGAGGUACCCAAGUCCUGAUUGCUCCAUUUCUUGCUUAUCUUUUUUUUUCACCUAGAGACUAUACAAGAUCGCUCAAGAAACAGUUAGUCUCAAAGGACACAAGUUAUGUGUGCUCCCCCUCAAGAUGUGCAUCAAGUAUUUGAAUGACUUGCACUUUGCACAUUCUAGCUUCCUUAGAACUAGAGGGGAUCACAACAUACAUUUGUCAAGGCAUACUCUAUCAUUUUCAUCACACAAGGAUGCCAAUUUGAAUAUCAAAUGAAAAGCCACUUAACACCAAUUGAAGGCUAAAUGAAAGGUUGACUAAAUACAAUAAUGCAUGCCUCAGUGGCACCUAAGCCAAUUGAAUACUCACAGGAAGUAUAACAUUUACACGCAACUUAGUCAUGCUUCAUACUUAACUAUCAUUGUAUCACAUAUACUAAUUGAUAAACAACAUGAUCAUGUCUAAGCACAUCAUAGUUAAGAAGAUUUUUAGGUACACCAAAAGAAACAACAUUUUAAGGCAUAAGUCUUCUAAGACACGAUGCUACCAAUGAAAUGCAAGAACACAGCUAUGAUCACUAUCAAUGGAACCUCAAGAUAUUCAAUAAAAUUGCACAGUUCCAUUUUCCAUACCUUUGCCCUUUUGAGAGUAUUUGUUAUCACCAAUUCAGGGCUCCUUACGCAUCUCAUAGCUCAAAAAGGGCACGACAUGGAUUUGAAAUUCUCACAAUACCAAACCAGGGAAAUCAUGUGAACAUGGACUAAACAAAAUGUCAUGUUUGCACAUAGCAUGACUUACACACAGUUACAUGUUUUAUCCAUAUACACCAAGAGGGUUAAUCGCUGUGGAUAUAACGAAUGAAAGAGCUACCCAUGAAUGAUUCAAAAGAUAUAUCCUUUAGUGCACUAGUCAUGAUUAAACAAACAUCAUUAUGAUUCAUUUAGCACAGGCAAUCAUAAAGCGUCACUACUCCAAAGACAGGUAGCACGACAAGCUAACUUAAGAGCAACACUAAAUUGCAGUUAUGUACUUAAAAUACACGGGUACCGUCCUUUGGAGAGCACGUUGUAGAUUCUCAUCAAAGUCCUUUACUUGAUUCACCAAUAAUGAUUCAGGACCUAUACACCUUAUUUCACUUGAGAUGAACAUGGGAUUAGUGUUUCACAAUAAUUCAACCUUGGGUCAAUAAACACCAAAACAAUUAACAGCUUAAGUAUGGAGUUUUAGAUAACCGUCUUAAGCUCUCCCAUGGUCUCCAGUCCAUCUCAAGGCACUUGCAUGGUCUAGUUAGCACAGUUUGGUACCCACCUCGGGAUGGGUCCAUAACGAUCAACUAAAAGUGCCUUGGGUAUCCAAAUAGUCUUUGUGCUAGUUCUAGGUGAGCUCGUUGUAGAUCUAGCACAAGUAUAUGAUUUGGGUCUCCUAAGCAAAUGAGAUUGAGACAACUUUACUCGUUUAGGAGCCUUACCUUUAUUACAUACCCUGGAUAGAUGACCCUGCUCGCCACACUUGUAGCAAAAGCGUCGCUCAACUUGACAUGACACUUGCUGUUUGUUAUUUUCCUUAGUGGGGGUCAUCUUGGAGAGUGCACGUGCUUGGUUCAUCAAUAGCGGACAAGACGUGAUCAUGUGGUCCUUAUUGUUGCAUCCAAAACAACUCCUUGUCCCUUCAUCCUUGUCUUUGUAUGGACAAGAUGCGACAAGGUGGCCUAGCUUCUUGCACUUGAAACACCUCCUUUUUCCUCUUCUCUUUUUGCUCUUUGAUGACAUAGAGAAAAGGUCAGUGCAAACAACAUGAUUAAAUAAAUCUUUACCUUUUUCCAAGCUCAUGUUGAUUUCUUCAUCUUUAGGAACAAUCUUUUUAUGAAGCUCAACACUUGCUGCAGUUUUUCCUUUCUCAAGCUUCUUCACCACGCGCCCGUGGAUAUCUUGAGAGAGUUGAGCAAUGCGUCUUCUCCUUAGUUGUCUUUGCUUCUUGUUCCCACACAAUUUCUUUUGUGACCCUGCAUCUUGAUGCUUAUUCAAACAUUGGCUUUCUUUUGAACAGCAGGGGUUAGCACAUGGUGAUAUACAAUUCAAAUGUGCACUCGUGCGAGAGUGAGGUUCACAUGAAUUUAAGUUCGCAAUUAUAACCUCAUGAGCAACAUUAAGCAUGAUAUGGUCAUCAAUCAUUUUAUUAUGAGAAUAUGACAACACGUCGUACUCUUCACCUAGAGCAAGCUUUUCUAAAUUUAGAAUUUCUACUUCUCUCUCAAGCAUGGCAUUUUCCAUUUUAAGUUGAGCAACACAAGAUAUAGCAUCAUCAUUACUAUUUUGCUCAAUUAAAAUUGAAUCAUACCGUUGGACCAAGACAUCAUGAGAGCACUUUAGCUCCUCAUGUUCUUUGGUCAUCUUCUCCAGGCUGUUGUUUGUUUUGAUGAGAGUCUCCUCUAGCCUGAGAAGCAUCUCGCUUUGUUCCUUGUUCCUUCUCAACAGCUUAAUCAAGAGCGCUUUGUCUUCUUUGUUGAGAUGGGUGUAGAAACGGCGAAUCUCCUCUUCUUCCACAUCAUCGGUCUCAUUUUCCUUGUCAUUAACGUCAGUGGAAGCAAUAUAGGAAAAUGUACCUUGUGGUGAUGAGGAUUCAUCCUCGCUAUCAUCCUUAUUUUCUUCCUCAUCCUGGCUUUUGUCUCCAUCAUCAUUGUUAGCAAUAAAACACUUAUUAUUAGUGGAAAACAAACCUGUCGACGAGGUGGAUUCAUCGUUUGGUGCCCAUCGUUCUUGUUCUUCUCCCUUGUGCAAGUUAGUACCAACAACAGAGGGAGCAUUGGAAGUGCAUAUGGACUUAAAAAAUUUCAACUUAAGUUUAGUCCAUAGAUCAUGAGCAUCAAAAAUUAAGUCACUAUUACUACUCAAGAUGGCAAAAUAGGCACCUCUAGAUAGAGAAUCAACUAAGAUGUUGCAAGCAUGGUGAUUUAGAGUUAGACAUCUUAGUUCUUCAUUAGAAGGAUUUUUACUAACAUUAGAAGGAAAAAUACUUCUACUAAAGACCUGUCUCAUUUCAGGAUCAACACUCAUGAAAGCAUUAUAAAUAGAGACAGACCAAGACUUGUAAUUAGAACCAUCGCCUAAAAGAAGUUCUACAGUUACCUCUUGUGACGACAUCGUCAUCUCCGGACGGCUAAGCCCACACUGGAGAGGCCUAGCUCUGAUACCAAUUGAAAGUUCCCUUUGACCCGGGAACAGGAUCUGGAUGUCGCCUAGAGGGGGGGUGAAUAGGCGAAUAAAACUUUUUACUUUAAAACUUAAAUUCUUACUCUACUCGAAGACUUAGUACGCAGUGGAGUGAGAAGACUCUUCGAGUAGGUUGCAGCGGAAUAGAAGAUCCUGUCUCAAAAUGUCAGAACAGAGCACACAGACGCAAGGAUUUAUCCCGAGGUUCGGCCAAGCCUGAAAUGCUUGCCUAGUCCUCGUUGGAGUUAGCCACACCUGGGCUUGGAGUCUAUUUCAACUCCUUCCUCCGUUUGCUCAGAUCUGUCAGUAUGACAGAUAGAGCCUUUCACUAUUGAGAUGGGUUACAACAACACCGUGGCUGCUUACAAACUUCUCGGCAGCACCUCGGUAGAGUAACGAUACGCUCAAGACCUUGCUCUAGCUCUUAGCAGCUCUUCUCCACUCUCUAAAGGCUUAUAGUUGUGCCUUCUACACAAACUAUAGAGUUACACACAAGAGGGAGAGCGAGAAUUGAUUCGAGUGAAGUCUAUACUUGUUGGCUGCGCUUAUUGUCUUGCUUGAGGCGCCUAGGGGUCCCUUUUAUAGGCACAAGGAGCCUAGGAGCCGUUGGAAGCAAUCCAGGAAGGCAAAUCUUGCCUUCUGUCGGGUGGCGCACCGGACAGUCCAGUGCACACCGGACACUGUCCGGUGCCCGAUUUAUUUCCAUAAACAGCGAAGCCGACCGUUGCAGAUCUGGCGCACCGGACAGUCCGGUGCACACCGGACAGUCCGGUGCUUCCUUCCGACCGUUGGCUCGGCCACGUGUCGCGCGCCGAUCGCGCGGUCGACCGUUGGCCCGGCCGACCGUUGGCUCACCGGACAGUCCGGUGCACACCGGACAGUCCGGUGAAUUUUAGCCGAAGUCGCCGGAGAAAAACCCGAGAGCGGCCUCUUCGGCUGGGGCAGCCUGGCGCACCGGACACUGUCCGGUGCACCACCGGACAGUCCGGUGCCCCAGACCGAACCAGCCUCUUGGCUGUACACAGCCAAGUCUUCUCUUCUCUUCUUCUUUCUGUUUCUAACACUUAGACACAAAUAUUAGUACACAAAACCAAUGUACUAAGGCUUAGAAACAUACCUUAACUUGAUUAUUACAUCCAUAGCAUUUCACAUGCUUGAGCUUUGAUGUUGGACUCAUAAAUCAUCAAGUCAGCUUGACUUGAUCUGGAUUGACAUUUCUUAGCUCCAACAUCCUGCAAAGGUCAUAUGGAACAUUUCCAAACAUAGGAACAACCCAAACUAAAGAUCAAGAUGAACUUAGCUCUUUUGGGCUGCUUCCAGUUCUGGUUUUGACACUUGUUCUCCUUCUAGUGACCUUGAUCUCCUUCUUAGAGCUUGGUCUUGAGCCUUAUGACUUACACCACAUAACUGUAGCUGUUACCUCAUUGGUUGUAAGUCACGUUCUUAUGUAGUGAUCCUUGAUGUGCCGUAGCUGUUCUCAACUCGAUCACCCUUGACUUUGCAAGCCUUCUUCUUCACCCUUGGCUUUGGGUUCCUCAGCCUCCUUGACCUUCUCCCGUGCACUUGGUACCUCGAAGCUCUUCUUGCCUCCGUCCUUGGCUUGAUCAGUUGUCUCCGAGCUACGCACCCGAGUAUCACUUUUGCAAUGUCCAACUUACUUGUGAUGUCCAUUAUGUAUCCAUAAUCCAGUUCUUGGACCAUCACAUUUGUUCACUUGUGUUGAACCCUGUAGGCUUUACCUUAAGCACCUGUUCAACACUUAGUACACUUGUUAGUCCUUUAAUUGAGUUGUCAUCCAAACACCAAAACUCACAAGAGAGCUUUCAAGGUCAAAGUCGCAGGCUACCAUAACAUUAUGUGAAAGAGUUCCUUUCCUAUUUCUAUAUGGAGCAGCCCUAUGUUCUGAUAUGGUGAUGGGUAUAUGUGUGCCGUCGAUUGCACCAAUG